rnacentral:lncRNA from 1 species
CCUUCCACCACUUUUAUAUUCAUUGGAUCCGACCCAAGUCACUGAACUAGUUUGGAAUAUUGACUUCCUGUUCUUCCUCUCAAAAUCCCUAGCUCCGCUCAAAAUCUCUAGCUCCCCAUCUCCACAACCAUCAUACCAUCUCCACUCAUAUCUUAAAUCUCAAACCAAAAACCUUCUUCCCAUCUCCUUCUCAAACCAAAAAUCUCCUUCUCAUCUCCUUCUCGGCCAACCUUCAACUUGAUGGCUCCGAAGAUGCGUCUUUCCCAAUGCCAAAGAGUAACCAGAAGUGAAGAAAAUAAAAAGGGAAGAAGAGCAAGCGAAGCAUCAGCUUCAUCACUUCCUUCAAGAUCACCUCCUUCAAGAACUCUAGUAAGUGAUAAAAAUAUUCUCUCAGGCCGUAUUGUUGAUAUGAAUUUUUUAGAUUCAGAGAAAUUUGAGAUUGCAAACUUAAUUAGAGAUAUGGGAUAGAAAUUCAUCUGCACAGCUAAAGUCUCAAUAUUUAUGAAGUUAGUUAGAGAGCUUUACGAAAAUAUUUCAUUUGAAGAAGAAACCGUAUCAUCUUCGAUGAAAGGAAAAGAAAUUUAUUUUGAUGAUUAAAUACUAGGACAAAUUUUGAAACUUCCAACUGUAAGUGACCUGCGGGAUAGUAAAGGAGAUAGAAGUGCAAGAAUAGAAACUAUUCUUAGGAUAGAGGAUCACGGUCAAUUUCGUAAAAUUUAUGGAUGAUAUUUAAAUAUUGAAAUGAGAUUCCUCCAUAUUAUUGUUUGCUGAAUCAUACAACUUAGAGCAGGAGGAUUUGAUACUGUAACAGAGAGAGACUUAGCAAUUAUAUAUCAUAUAGUCCAAUACAUCUCACUCAACCUUUCAAAAAUGAUCAUC